rnacentral:rRNA from 1 species
CAUUACUGAGUUUACGCUCUAUAACCCUUUGUGAACGUACCUAACCGUUGCUUCGGCGGGCAGGGGAAGCCUCUCGCGGGCCUCCCCUCCCGGCGCCGGCCCCCACCACGGGGACGGGGCGCCCGCCGGAGGAAACCAAACUCUAUUUACACGACGUCUCUUCUGAGUGGCACAAGCAAAUAAUUAAAACUUUUAACAACGGAUCUCUUGGUUCUGGCAUCGAUGAAGAACGCAGCGAAAUGCGAUAAGUAAUGUGAAUUGCAGAAUUCAGUGAAUCAUCGAAUCUUUGAACGCACAUUGCGCUCGCCAGCAUUCUGGCGAGCAUGCCUGUUCGAGCGUCAUUUCAACCCUCAAGCACCGCUUGGUUUUGGGGCCCCACGGCCGACGUGGGCCCUUAAAGGUAGUGGCGGACCCUCCCGGAGCCUCCUUUGCGUAGUAACUAACGUCUCGCACUGGGAUCCGGAGGGACUCUUGCCGUUAAACCCCCAAAUUCUUUACAGGUUGACCUCGGAUCAGGUAGGAAUACCCGC